UCUUAUGGAUGAGCAAAGAAAGCAGUUUACUGAGACGGAAUCUAGUCCUGGUGAAGAUGCUGUGAA
rnacentral:pre_miRNA from 1 species